UAAAUAAGUGACGAACUGACUUACUUUAAAAAAUAAAAAUAAAAAAAAAAGACUGUGACAAACAAAGAAUGUCUCUGUGCCUUGUGAAUGAGUGGAUGCGUGUCUUCUUGCAUGAGAAGUAAAUGCUGCUUUCGCUGGAUCUUCUCCUGAAAUGACUCAGUUUUUAAUAGAGGGAGCAGCUGCUUGAGAAACGGUGCGGUCCAUGUUUCUGCUAGACGGUUAUUUAGUUCGAGAGACUGUGGAAACAAUAGAAAAAGAAUUUAUCGUUAGUGUGAGGACAAGUAAAUCCUUUAAAAUACAAAAGUUGCAUGGUUGUGGUUAUAAAGGAAGUAUUUUGUCUGAUUAUGGGCCGUGGAGUCAGCUGGACUCCCUCGCUCUCACUGUUUUUCUGUGUAACAUGCAGUUUUAAGCAAUUUGUGACUUUAGAAAGGAUAUUUUUCGGUGUUUUGGACGUACCUUAAGGCUCCUGGUUAGGGUAAUCAGGAGAUCCUUCCUCUCGGACAGAUCUAGUGAGAAUGACUGGAGUUUCAGCCUGGGGACCUGACUCCACCCACUUUUACACACAAGAAUCCCAUAGUCUAAAAACAGCACAGGGUGCUGCGAAAAGCAGCUCUGAACUUCUCAGGAUCAUCUUUAUGAAAACCAUAAAAUUAACAAAUAAUCAGUCAAGAAAUAAAAUAUUUGUUAAAUCUUGCUAUAAAACAAAAUCCAAUAAUUGUCUUGCCUCAACUUUAAGAACCAUUAACGUUAAUGGCUGGAUUUUGAGACGCUGAAUAAUGAAAAAACAGAUAAACUAAGUAUUAUUUCCUGUAACCUGGCUAGAAACUGUACCAGGCUGUUUUGAGUUAAAAACUGGUAGUUAUUUUCCCAAAAUAAAAAUAGAUAAAUAAAAAAUGAAAGGAGGGAUCUUGCAUUUGGGAUAGAUUGUGCCUAAUGUUUAAAACCUGUGUAGAACUGAUUUGAUGAUUCAGAACAAAUUGUGCAUAGGAAGUAGUCUAGAUUUACCUUUGGGUCAAUAAAGUCGACUAAUUAUUAGAAACCAUCGUUGAUUUUGAUUUGUAAAAAGAGAAAGUUCUGUCAUUUCAAUCCAAUCAACAUAUUUAAGGAAAACGUUUGCUGUGCAUUGUGGCGGGCAUGAACUUUACUGGGUGGGCCUGUCACAACCAGCUGCAAAGAAUGUUUGGGUCUGACUUCUAUACAAAGAGAACCUGGAAGCCCUCACCAAAAGCUGUGACUUAUAACAUCAAGACGGGGAGCACUACAAGAUGGACAAAGAGGCAGAAACUUAUUUGCCCUGCUGCUGAUGAAACAAAGUACAAAAGGGGGAGCAUGUGUGCUAACAUGUGAACUUUAAUCAAUGACGGUGGUCAUCCUGGACUUACAAAGAGAGGCUCAAAAGAGACUGUUUCCUAUGGUUACACCCAAUAAAAGAGUGCUUGCUGCAGUCAGGUAAUGAACAAGGCUUUUUGGCAACAACCAGUUGAAUUGAUGAAAUGUCAGAACUGUGGAAAAUUUACUAAACUACUGUAGAACAUAGUUAACUGAGAAAGUUAGCCUAAAAAAAAAAAAAGAUAAUAAUAAUAUCAAUAAAUAAAUAAAUAAUAGGAUUAGUAACCUGGAUUUCAGCCCAACUCACCAUUGGACGUCAAUAUAAUCUUUAUUGUCUUAGGAUUCUCAGCUGCAGCGGACAUGCAGUAAAGCCUUAUUUUCUUUUCAAAACGGAAUACAUCAGCGUCAUCACUUAUUUUCAUUGGUUAAGGAAACGGUGUCUAUUUAUAAGUCUAGGAGAACGCUUUAGGCUUCAACAGUUUUCUCCUUCGAGCAAACAUGCGCAAAUUUUUGAACAGUUCCAUCCCAUUUCAUUCAUUGCAUAAAAUAACAAUUAAAUGAAUAAUUUGGCGUUCAGCUGACUAAAUGAUUCAUGGAACAUCUCAUCCGAGACAACAGAGUUUUUUCAGCUCCGUUGAGUUUCCCAACAGAUCUAGCCAAACCUAGCUGAUCCUAUAUUUUUAUAUCAGCUGUAAGUUCUAACGUAGAAAAUAAUGUCACAAUAAUAUUGAAUAAUUGUACCCCUCAUUCGAUAAAAAUUAUGUUCACAUUUUUAUCUUGUGAAAUCUUUAACAUAAUAUUUUUAAUUGGCCUUUUUGACGACAAUUGGCUAAAAAGUCUUUAAGAUUAUCAUCACAGGAUGGCAUGAUAAAUAAGUAAAUAACAAAUAAAUAAAUAGAUAAAAAUAAGAGAGAAAAAAAGCAAAAUUAAUUAAAUGAAACGUAAUAGUAAUAAAACGUUAAAUUGAUCUAAAAUCUGUCAUUCAGUGCCACUGGAAAAAGGAAGAGGAUAGGGGAGUAUUUCUUAGCACAAAUCACGUUAUUGAUUUAGCAAUGCAGCUUAAUUUCAGACGCUUUAAGGAUGAUACUAACUUGUGUUAUAGAUGGAGGAGUAGCACAGAAACACACUUCUAGAUGAGGAGAUAAGGAAAAAAAACUGCUGAUUACCAAUACUAUGCACAAACAAACCUGUAACUGCAGUUUCGUUAUUUAUGAAUUAACCUUAAGUAGUGAAUUAAUUCUUAGGAUUUCUUGUGCGAGUAGUGUUCUUAAAAAAGAAAGAAAGAAAGAAGGUAAGAAAGACAAGUAGUUUAGGUAAGGGACAACCUGAAACUAUUUGGUUGAAUUGAUAGUAAAGUGGUUGUCCUAAUUUCUAAUUGGAGAGAUCACACCGCAACAUGAGUUUAGAACGGCAGUUAUGGGAAGUUUUGUUGGAUUAAUUUGAUUACACGCUUUAGGUCUUAUUUUUUUCUUUCCACUGAUUUAGCGUUAGGUUAAGUGUUUUCACACUUUCGCUUCAGUCUGACAUUUGCUUGGUGUGUGAGGGCACAGAGACGUGUAUGGACCGUGUGUUUGACUGUGUUUGUCUUGUUUGUUUGUUUAUUUAUCUAUAUGGGUGUGGCUGAGCCUUGAGAAACAUCAACAAAGCCAUUGGGCUAUUCUGAGUAAAUUGACCAAUUCAAAUUCAGGAUCCUGAAACAAUUUGGCUAUAACCUCUAAUUGAUGAAGGACAUCUUAAGAAUUCAUUGUACAAGGCUUCCUCUCCAGUGUUGCCGGAACUGUUAUAAAACCCAUGCAUGAUUGUAUAUUUUAGUUUGAUCAUUUAUACUCAUUGAAUUAUUGUUGUUUGCUUUAUGUUUUAAUUUCUUUGUAAUUUUUUCUCUGUGACACAGGUGGAGAUGCUGGUGGCAAAGUGGAUCCCACUCAUUUCUUUCUCCCACACACAUUCUUACUCUCUCCCUCUCUCUCUGUGUAUGUGCAUGUGUAUGUGUUUGUGUGUCUGUGUGUGUCCAUGUCGUGAUGUCACUGUACCUUUAAUUGCGCUGGCUGUUUGUAACUGUAUGUGUCUGAUGUUGAAGGUAUCAGAGGCUAGGGUCAGUAAGAGCUAGGACAUUUUUGUGCAUAACCUUUAAUCCCUAGGCGAUCGGUUCAGGGAACUUCUGGUCCGGCCGGAGUGUGAAUCUUCCUACCAACUAUCUGCCGAGAUCAAGGACUGCACAAGCCGAGAAAGCCUUCAUUGGACCAAAACUACACACACGAAGAUACUUCGCCUUCGGUGCCAGGCGUCGACUGGGUCCUGCUAAAAGUCACCAAAAGAAAGUGGACGGAACCAAGGUGGACCGGGCCAUACAGGAUCACGGAGAGGACGUCACACGCUGUCCGGCUGGACGGGAGGAUCCUAACCUGGAAGAGAAGCAGCCAACAUCUGCCUGACCAGGAGAAGUACCCAAGGACCAGGACGAGAAGCAGCUGACAUCUGACCAACCAGAGAAAGGAUCCAAAAACCAGGAAGAGAAGUAGCUGACUACAGUAGCAUGCCAAGCUGCCACCACAUCCUGCAGGACGAGAAUCAUGACAUCAUCACCCCCUGCAGCUGCCUGGAGCCAGUGAAGGGACCUCAACAGGGGGAAGAAGUAACCACCCUAUGAACAUUCUACAAGGGUUCUAUUUAACACCCUCAUUUAUUUUACAAGGGUAAUAUUUUACACCCUCCACCUGCUGAC